CGAGUAGUCAAUGAUUGCUGAUUGCGCUGAUUGUGAUCUAACAUUAAAGACUUUUUUGAUAGACAUUUUCUGGAAUUUGUGAAAUUAAGAAAGUGUGACUGAUCCUGAAAACAUGUUUUUCUGUCACAUAAUUACAGUGUUUGAUUUGCUUUGUUUCCUUUCAAGAAGAAGCAUGAUUACCAGUGAGACAUGUCUCAACUUGGCUUGGAUGUCUACUUCCUCAAGAGAUUACUAUCCUAUUGGUGGUGAUGACCAUACACAGAGAGGAACUUUGUGAGUAUCAAAAUUUGUCAGUUCUCUGUUCAAUAUUGUUUGUUAUUUUAUUUCACUUGAGUGUCGAUGAGCUAAAUUACCUGAUGAGCUCCACCUAGAGUGGAGUUUUGUUUGCAACUUAGUUGUAAACAUUUAUUUUUUCUUAUAGUAAAUGGCUUACAAUAGGCUCAGGUAAAUUUAUCAGCUGCCAGAAACAUCAAUUUCUGGUCCUUUGCUCAUCUUUGAACAAAUCUAUUGUCAGUUACUGAUUUUUUUUUGUUGUAUUAUCUGACAGAAACUGUUCAAGCGAUAAAGCUCACUUGUUAGAUUUUUCUCUACUUCUGAUUUUUAAAUUUGCUAAUAGUUCUGUAAAUAUUCAUUGGACGUUAAAAAGAACCACAUAAUCGGGAUUCUCGUGAAAUUUGGGGUCGAUUUUGUGCCUCAGUAGAAAAUGUCGAAACAUUUUGGUUUUCGUUUAAAACACAUGAAAUCGACCCAAAAUUUGAAAAUUUCAUAGCAAUUUGGUUCUUUCGAAUUCGAAUAUUUCGUGUAGAGGUUGGGUUAGAACCGUGCAUUGGUAUAGAGGUUGGGUGAGAAGUUAGAACUGAACUGUGGAGUGGUGUAGAGGUUGGGUGAGAACCGUGCAAUGUAGUAGUGUAGAGGAUGGGUGAGAACGACACGUGUUGAAUCAUUAUCAGGCAGGUAGAAUAGCCACAAGGCUUAAGUGGUGAGGGUGAGAAAAAAAUCGUAUAAAAAGAGAGAGAAAAUUCUAUCGAGAUCAGUCGAGUGAGCAUCUCCGACACGGCAACAACUGUAGCACAUUAUUGGUCCCCAACUGCUUUCUUCAUGUGUCUUGUUAUUUAUAGUGUCGUGCUGUUGUUGGGUUUUGUACGGUUGAAGGCUGGGUCGACUGACUUUUACUGAUGUCUCCUGGGUAUGGUGGAUACACUGGAUACCAAACCGCAACGCUGCCUCAUUACUACGCAACAACCGGUUACUUCACAACCAAGGCUCCAGAAUUUCACGCCGCAGCUUAUGAUGCUUACGAGCUACAUCACCAAAGAUCCUGCCGACUACACCGAGUUUUCCAAGUACUACACCACCAAGUCACCGGAGUGCUACACGGCUACGUAUGCUGCCCUUGCCUACUGCACCGAGGUUCCAACUUAUUACAACAACGAAGCGCGUAAGUUCUACACUGCAACCUAUGCUGCCCCGAGCCACUACACCGACGCCACGAAGUAUUACUCUGCGUAAAAGGAGAUGUCUAGAAACAUGAAGUCGUAUGAAAUGAAAGAGAAAAGGUGAUAGGAAUCAGUCGAGUGAACAUCUCCAACACGGCAACAACUGCAGCGCACUAUUUGUCACUAGCUGCCUUGUUCAUCUCAUCGUAUAACCAGUUCGCGAUCAUGUUAACUAUGGCGUGUUGCUGUUGGGUGUUUAAUCGUUGAUGGCUAGAUCGACGACUCGUUUACCGAUGUCUCCUUAGUAUGGCGGGUGUCAAACCGUAAAGCCGCCGCCUUACUACAACAACCUACGCAACGACCAAUCAGUACACCAUCAAGGCUUCAGAGUAUUACACCACAACUUGCGCUGCCCCGAGCUGCACCACCAAGGUACCGGAGAAUUACACGACUACGUAAGCUGCCCCGUCCUACUACACCGAGGCUCCCAAGUACUACUCUGUUCCCAGCUACUACACCGAGGCUCCGGCUUAUUACUCCACUAAAGCUAGCGAAUACUACACCGAAGUGUCCAAGUACUACUCUGCACCGAGCUCCACCAUCAUAACUGAGGAGGCGAAGUAUUACUACCCAACGGCUGCUCCUUCGUACUAAGUUGACCCGAAAAACUACACUGAUGCGAUAGCUGACUACACCAAAACCUACGCUACAGCUAGAUACUGCACCACCGAGGUCGAAUAUUACACAACAACCAAUGCUGCCCCAGUCUACUACUACGAGGAACUUCAGUAUUACUCUUCUCUUAGCUACUACCGAACAGAAAUUCAAUUGUAAUAAUUAUGUUCAGAUUUGUCGGUCUUAUCUUCUAAAUUACUUGUCACUGGGAAUUGUUGAUCUUUGAGAAAAUAAAUUUUUAUCUGGGUAA